rnacentral:rRNA from 1 species
CCUACGGGCGGCAGCAGUAGGGAAUAUUGCUCAAUGGGGGCAACCCUGAAGCAGCAACGCCGCGUGGAGGAUGAAGGUUUUCGGAUUGUAAACUCCUUUUGUUAGAGAAGAAACUGACGGUAUCUAACGAAUAAGCAACGGCUAACGCCGUGCCAGCAGCAGCGGUAAUACGGAGGGUGCAAGCGUUAUUCGGAAUCACUGGGCGUAAAGAGCGCGUAGGCGGGAUAGCAAGUCAGAUGUGAAAUCCUAGGGCUUAACCAUAGAACUGCAUUUGAUACUGUUAUUCUAGAGUAUGGGAGAGGUAGGUGGAAUUCUGUGUGUAGGGGUAAAAUCCGUAGAGAUCAAGAGGAAGACUCAUUGCGAAGGCGACCUGCUAGAACAUAACUGACGCUGAUGCGCGAAAGCGUGGGGAGCAAACAGGAUUAGAUACCCGAGUAGUC